rnacentral:rRNA from 1 species
UACAGAGGGUGCAAGCGUUAAUCGGAAUUACUGGGCGUAAAGCGCGUGUAGGCUGCUCCGAAAGUCAGGUGUGAAAGCCCCGGGCUCAACCUGGGAAGUGCACUUGAAACCUCGGAGCUUGAAUGUCGGAGAGGGCAGCGGAAUUCUCGGGUGUAGAGGUGAAAUUCGUAGAUAUCGAGAGGAACACCUGUGGCGAAGGCGGCUGCCUGGACGACGAUUGACGCUGAGACGCGAAAGCGUGGGGAGCAAACAGG